GACGAACGCUGGCGGCGUGCUUAACACAUGCAAGUCGAACGGAAAGGCCCUUCGGGGUACUCGAGUGGCGAACGGGUGAGUAACACGUGGGUGAUCUGCCCUGCACUUUGGGAUAAGCCUGGGAAACUGGGUCUAAUACGGAAUAGGACAACGCGCUCAAGGGGGGGGGGUGGAAAGCUUUUGCGGUGUGGGAUGGGCCGGCGGCCUAUCAGCUUGUUGGUGGGGUAAUGGCCUACCAAGGCGACGACGGGUAGCCGGCCUGAGAGGGUGACCGGCCACACUGGGACUGAGAUACGGCCCAGACUCCUACGGGAGGCAGCAGUGGGGAAUAUUGCACAAUGGGCGCAAGCCUGAUGCAGCGACGCCGCGUGAGGGAUGACGGCCUUCGGGUUGUAAACCUCUUUCAAUAGGGACGAAGCGCAAGUGACGGUACCUAUAGAAGAAGCACCGGCCAACUACGUG
rnacentral:rRNA from 1 species